rnacentral:sRNA from 1 species
UAAAGAAGUCUGUAAAGAAGAACGAGUAAAGACGUUGACGUUGAAUACCGCUUCCUUGCCGAACCUUAAUUAGUGCCUCAUGCAGUAAUGUCUCUGGUUUUUCUGUACGACAGCCUUCGGGCUAAAUAAACAUCUAAAGGAAUUUGCAAAAUGGCAAAGAUUAAAGGUCAGGUUAAGUGGUUCAACGAGUCUAAAGGUUUUGGUUUUAUCACCCCUGCUGACGGUAGCAAAGAUGUGUUCGUUCACUUCUCCGCUAUUCAGGGCAAUGGUUUCAAAACCCUGGCUGAAGGCCAGAGCGUUGAGUUCGAAAUUCAGGACGGCCAGAAAGGCCCGGCAGCCGUUAACGUUACGGCUAUC